AUGACAUGAGCCCUGGACGGAACCCCUCCUCGAUGCCCUACGAUGAGCGAGUCCAUGGUGACGGAAGCCGGUGAGAGUCCGGCACAGUCGCGCUACUGUGACACCCGCUCAGCGGGUGGAGUCAGAGACGUUCCCAUGGAAGCCCACUCACG
rnacentral:ncRNA from 18 species